AACGAACGCUGGCGGCAUGCCUAACACAUGCAAGUCGAACGAGACCUUCGGGUCUAGUGGCGCACGGGUGCGUAACGCGUGGGAACCUGCCCUUAGGUUCGGAAUAACUCCCCGAAAGGGGUGCUAAUACCGGAUAAUGUCUUCGGACCAAAGAUUUAUCGCCUUUGGAUGGGCCCGCGUUGGAUUAACUAGUUGGUAGGGUAAAAGCCUACCAAGGCGACGAUCCAUAGCUGGUCUGAGAGGAUGAUCAGCCACACUGGGACUGAGACACGGCCCAGACUCCUACGGGAAGCAGCAGUGGGGAAUAUUGGACAAUGGGCGAAAGCCUGAUCCAGCAAUGCCGCGUGAGUGAUGAAGGCCUUAGGGUUGUAAAGCUCUUUUACCCGGGAUGAUAAUGACAGUACCGGGAGAAUAAGCUCCGGCUAACUCCGUG
rnacentral:rRNA from 1 species